rnacentral:rRNA from 1 species
CUGGCGGCGUGCCUAAUACAUGCAAGUCGAACGCACUCUCGUUUAGAUUGAAGGAGCUUGCUCCUGAUUGAUAAGCAUUUGAGUGAGUGGCGGACGGGUGAGUAACACGUGGGUAACCUGCCCUAAAGUGGGGGAUAACAUUUGGAAACAGAUGCUAAUACCGCAUAAAACCUAACACCGCAUGGUGUAGGGUUGAAAGAUGGUUUCGGCUAUCACUUUAGGAUGGACCCGCGGUGCAUUAGUUAGUUGGUGAGGUAAAGGCUCACCAAGACCGUGAUGCAUAGCCGACCUGAGAGGGUAAUCGGCCACACUGGGACUGAGACACGGCCCAGACUCCUACGGGAGGCAGCAGUAGGGAAUCUUCCACAAUGGACGAAAGUCUGAUGGAGCAACGCCGCGUGAGUGAAGAAGGUUUUCGGAUCGUAAAACUCUGUUGUUGGAGAAGAAUGUAUCUGAUAGUAACUGAUCAGGUAGUGACGGUAUCCAACCAGAAAGCCACGGCUAACUACGUG